rnacentral:rRNA from 1 species
UAACACGAACCGUGCGAACGUUAUUCAGAAUCACUGGGCUUAAAGGGUACGUAGGCGGUCUUGUAAGUGGGGUGUGAAAUCCCCCGACUCAACCGGGGAACUGCGCUCCAAACUGCAAGACUUGAGGGAGAUAGAGGUGAGCGGAACUGAUGGUGGAGCGGUGAAAUGCGUUGAGAUCAUCAGGAACACCAGAGGCGAAGGCGGCUCACUGGAUCUCUUCUGACGCUGAGGUACGAAAGCUAGGGUAGCGAACGGGAUUAGAUACCCCGGUAGUCCUAGCUGUAAACGAUGAGCACUGGGUCGAGGAGCCUUCCACAGUUUCUCGGCCGUAGCGAAAGUGUUAAGUGCUCCGCCUGGGGAGUAUGGUCGCAAGGCUG